GACACACUGACACUCACAGAUACACACACAUACACACUGACACUCACAGAUACAGAUACACACAGAAACUCACAGAUACACACAGAUGUACACAUACCUAAACAUACACACUGGCACACACAAAUUGCAGCUUCCAUAAUGUUAACCACUCACCCUGCCCCUUCCAUACCUUUUGGUUGCAGGGAGGUGACUUUCUGGGGCUGGCUGAUCCUGGUGGGAGUCUGAAGCUGCAGAGCUCUCUCUCCUCCCUCCUCCUUCUCUCCCAGCUGCCUCCUCCUCCUCUCUCAGCUGCCUGCAGCCUGUGUCUUCUCAGCCCGUGCGGUCUGUAA